GACGAACGCUGGCGGCGUGCUUAACACAUGCAAGUCGAGCGGUAAGGCCCUUUCGGGGGUACACGAGCGGCGAACGGGUGAGUAACACGUGGGUGACCUGCCCUCAGCUCUGGGAUAAGCCUGGGAAACCGGGUCUAAUACCGGAUAUGACUCCAUGACGCAUGUUGUGGGGUGGAAAGCCUUGUGCGGCUGAGGAUGGGCCCGCGGCCUAUCAGCUUGUUGGUGGGGUGAGGCCUACCAAGGCGACGACGGGUAGCCGGCCUGAGAGGGCGACCGGCCACACUGGGACUGAGACACGGCCCAGACUCCUACGGGAGGCAGCAGUGGGGAAUCUUGCGCAAUGGGCGAAAGCCUAACGCAGCGACGCCGCGUGAGGGAUGACGGCCUGGUGUAA
rnacentral:rRNA from 1 species